rnacentral:rRNA from 1 species
AAUCCAGCCAUGCCGCGUGUGUGAAGAAGGCCUUUUGGUUGUAAAGCACUUUAAGCGAGGAGGAGGAGCUCUUGGUUAAUACCCAAGAUGCUUGGACGUUACUCGCAGAAUAAGCACCGGCUAACUCUGUGCCAGCAGCCGCGGUAAUACAGAGGGUGCAAGCGUUAAUCGGAUUUACUGGGCGUAAAGCGCGCGUAGGUGGCCAAUUAAGUCAAAUGUGAAAUCCCCGAGCUUAACUUGGGAAUUGCAUUCGAUACUGGUUGGCUAGAGUAUGGGAGAGGAUGGUAGAAUUCCAGGUGUAGCGGUGAAAUGCGUAGAGAUCUGGAGGAAUACCGAUGGCGAAGGCAGCCAUCUGGCCUAAUACUGACACUGAGGUGCGAAAGCAUGGGGAGCAAACAGGAUUAGAUACCCUGGUAGUCCAUGCCGUAAACGAUGUCUACUAGCCGUUGGG